GAAAAAGGCAAAGGAAAGGGCGCCGAGGCCUCAAUUCCGUAGUGCAUUGCAGUGCAUAUUGCCCCCUGCAAGCAGUGCGGAAGUGAGGCUGAGGUCUCCUUAAGCAACGUAUCAACAC
rnacentral:pre_miRNA from 12 species